UAAUAUUAUUGCUAGUUUGAUUCUAAAGUUGAAAAAGAUAUCAUGCAUGAGCCCCCUCUUGACUCUUGCUGCCCUAUAAAAAGAAAAGGAAUAAAAACGGAUGGAAGUUGAUUUGCUUUUAGCAACUGCGUGCCUGAACUACAUUGCCGUAAAUGUUCAUAGUUCACAUUGAAUCAUAAGUAGGUAGAGGAUAUUAUCUGAGUAUUUGACAGAUGGAGUUAUUUUACAAUGACUGGACAGCGGAUAUAUUCACCCAGUCAGUUGAAUAAAAUCUUCAAAUGCACUUCCAGGAUUUAUAAAUAUGAUACCUUAAUGUUUCUGGCAUUUUCUCUUACAAUUUUACUAAAUUUGCAUGGUAGGAUUACAAAUGAACUUGAUCUCUUCAUGGCUUGCAUAAUUUGUUCCAAUCAUUUUUUUUCUAUAUUAUUCCUUUUUGUCAAUGCAACUUUUUUCCCUAACUUGUGUCUUUGUGCAAUUCUAUCUCUAGCAACUUCAGUGUGUGCAAUACUCCUAGUCUCUAGGGGUAAAAUAAACUUGCUGAUUAAAAAUGUACCAAAUGUGAUUUAACUUGUCAUUCCAGUAGAGAGAGGUUAGCUUUAAGGGAAGCAUUCAAAUUCUGUCUAUAUCUAUCUUAUUUAGACUGACUCUCUCUCUUAUCUCGAUAUCUAUCUUUCUUCUUUCUUUCUUUCUUUCUUUCU
rnacentral:misc_RNA from 1 species